AGAGUUUGAUUCUGGCUCAGAACGAACGCUGGCGGCGUGGAUAAGACAUGCAAGUUGAGCGAUGAACUGACGAUAGCAAUAUCAGACGGGAUUAGCAGCGAACGGGUGAGUAACACGUAGGAAUCUGCCCCAAAGUUCGGAAUAGCCCGGUGAAAGCCGGGGUAAUACCGGAUGUGAUCUUCGGAUUAAAGGCUUCGGUCGCUUUGGGAUGAGCCUGCGUUCCAUCAGCUUGUUGGUAGGGUAAAAGCCUACCAAGGCGAAGACGGAUAGCUGGUCUGAGAGGACGGUCAGCCACAAUGGAACUGAGACACGGUCCAUACACCUACGGGUGGCAGCAGUCGAGAAUCAUUCGCAAUGGACGAAAGUCUGACGGUGCGACGCCGCGUGGGGGAUGAAGGCCUUAGGGUCGUAAACCCCUGUCGGGUGCGAGUAAGGGUAUACAUUACGGCAUACUCAGAUAUUAGCAUCAAAGGAAGGGACGGCUAACUCCGUGCCAGCAGCCGCGGUAAUACGGAGGUCCCAAGCGUUGUUCGGAUUCACUGGGCGUAAAGCGUGCGUAGGCGGAGAGAUAAGUUUGGCGUGAAAGCCCCGGGCCUAACCCGGAAAAUGCGCUGAAAACUAUUUCCCUAGAGGAUUGGAGAGGAGACUGGAAUUCCUGGUGUAGCAGUGAAAUGCGUAGAUAUCAGGAGGAACACCGGUGGCGAAGGCGAGUCUCUGGACAAUUCCUGACGCUGAGGUACGAAGGCUAGGGUAGCGAAAAGGAUUAGAUACCCUUGUAGUCCUAGCAGUAAACGGUGUGCACUUGCUGUAGGCGGAUUCGACCCCGCCUGUGGCGAAGCUAACGCGUUAAGUGCACCGCCUGGGGAGUACGGUCGCAAGAUUAAAACUCAAAGAAAUUGACG
rnacentral:rRNA from 1 species